GUAAGAAAGACUUCUCGGGAGGGUACUCCAGGGCCCCCCAGCUUUAGGAUUGAGGAUGGCUUUGCUUAGGUACUAGAAGAGCUUCUUUCAGUUUUUCCAUUCCAGUUGUUAUAUUCAGUGCUUGCCUUUGAGAGCCCUGCUAACAUAAGAUAUUUUUUUUUCUUUUUUUUUCGAGAUGGAGUCUCGCUCUUGUCAUCCAGGCCGGAGUUCAGUGGUGCGAUCUCAGCUCACUGCAACCUCUGCCUCCGAGGUUCAAGUGAUUCUCCUUCCUCAGCCUCCCGAGUAGUUGGGAUUACAGGUGCCCGCCACCAUGCCCAGCUCAUUUUUGUAUUUUUUUAGUAGAGAUGGGGUUUCACCAUGAGAGCCAGGCUGGUCUCGAACUCCUGACCUCAAGUGAUCUGCCCGCCUCAGCACCCCAAAGUGCUGGGAUUAUAGGUGUGAGCCACUGUGUCCAGCUUUUUUUUUUUUUUUUGAGAUGAAGUCUUGUUGUGUGGCCCAGGCUGGAGUGCAGUGGUACAAUCUUGGCUCGCUGCAACCUCUGCCUCCUGGGUUCAAGCAGUUCUUGUGUCUCAGCCUCCCUUGUGGCUGGGAUGAUAGGCAUGUGCCACCACGCCCAGCUAAUUUUUGUAUUUUUAAUAGAGACGGGGUUUCACCAUGUUGCCGAGGCUGGUCUUGAACUCCUGGACUCAAACAAUCCUCCUGCCUUGGCUUCCCAAAGUGUUGGGAUUACAGGUGUGAGCCACUGCACCUGUCCUGAAAGAACAACUGUCACUGGGAAUUUGCUUUCAGAAAGAAAAAAUGUCAGUGUUCAUGCCUUUAACUCAAAAUAAUUCUUAAGCCAAAAUAGCAUAUUUUGGGGUGGCGUAUUCUUCCGCCCUUCACUUUUUUUCCCAGUAAAUAUUAUUUUGAGUGAAUAAAGUGACUCAUCCAAAAAUUCUUUUUUUUUUUUGAUGACUUGUCCAAAUUCACUGCAUCAGUUAUCUAUUUCUGUAUAACAAAACACUCUUGGAUUUAGUGGCUUAUGACAACACUGUCUUAUUUGUUUAUGAUUCUGUGGGUCAGCUAUUUGAGGUGGGAUGGAUGGUUCUUCUCCUGGUCUUGGCCGAGACCACUUGCAACUGCAGUCGGCUGGGGGUUUGGCUGGGAGCUGGUUGAUCUGGGGCCUCAGCCAGGGUAUGUUUUUGCUCCUUGUGGUCUUACGUCCAACAGGCUAGUGUCCUGGGCUUCUUUCUGAGAAAGUGAGGCUGAGGGCCUCUUCAGGGGCAGAUCCUGAAGCAGUUCUAGGGGUCUUCUCUAAAGAAAAUAAAAGCCAUUAAUAUGAAAUUAGGUCCAGAGCCUUGGAAGAGGCCGGUGCAAGUAAAGGGCCCAAAGCUUGAGCUGCAGGAGCCUCCCAGAACAUCCGCCUUUGGUCUUCUCUGCUCUUGGAUCCUCAGUGAGACUUGAUGGGGUCUGACAUCAUUCUUACCCUUGAGAAUGGGCCAGGGAACUAGCAUGACAUGGAACAGGGCCUCUUCUCAGUGACACACCUAAGAACCCUCUCCCUCCUCCCCAACUUGCCCCUCUCCUCUCAAUCUUGAAGCUGCUAUUGCUGUACUUCAUCACGCUGAAUUUAUUGAGACACAAACUUUUAUCAGGCUUUAGAUUUUAUUUUAUUUUAUUUUUUUUGAGAUGGAUCCUCACUCUGUCACCCAGGCUGGAGUCCAUCUUGGCUUACUGCAACCUCCACCUCCCGGGUUCAAGCAAUUCUCCCACCUCAGCCUCCCGAGUAGCUGGAAUUUCAGGCGAGUGACACCACAUCUGGUUAAUUUUUGUAUUUUUAGUAGAGAUGGGGUUUCACAAUGUUGGCCAGGAUGGUCUGGAAUUCCUGACCUCAGGUGAUCCGCUCGCCUCGGCCUCCCAAAGUGCUGGGAUUACAGGCAUGAGCCACUGGACCCCGCCAGAUUUUAUUUUAUUUUAUGAGUCAGGAUCUCAAUGUGUCGCCGUUGGAGUGCAGUGGCGCGAUCAUGGCUCAUGCAGCCUCAAACUCUCCAUCUCAAGUGAUCCUCCAACUUCAGCCUCCUAAAUAGCUAGGACUGUAGGUACUCCACAAAUGCCUGGUGAAUUUUUGUUUACUUUUUGUAGAAACAGAGUCUCACUAUAUUGCCCGGGCUGGUCUCAAAACUCCUGGAUUUAAGUGAUCCUCUCCUUGGCUUCCCAAAGCUCUGGGAUUACAGAUGUGAGCCACUGCCCCUGGCCUAGGCUUUAGAUUUAAAAAUUCAACUCCUGCCCCUAUUUCCCCCCACAAAUAUGCUCUCUGGCAUAAAUUUCAAAGGUCUAUUUGAAACUCAAAAGCUAAGAAUGGACUCUUUGUUCUGCUGUAUCCCCCAUCACUUCCUGAGGGAAUGAGCUUCAAAUGUCCUACCUGCUUCCCAAAUGGGCGGAAAGAUUCAGGAACAAAGCCCACAUUAGAUAACAGUAUAAAAUAGCUUCCGGCUGCAUGGUUAGAACUGUUUAUUUACACAGGUUUAGGAGCACCAGGUGAAAAAUGUGAGCUUUGCCCUCACUUGGGGUUCAAAUUUACCUGGGCAUGUUUGGUGGGGGAUGGAACCACACCGUAGGUGCAAUUGUGUUCCAGAGAGAGAGGCGACAAUGGAGAAGAAGGAAUACACCAUGCUAGGCUCAGACGUGGGGCCUUGGGUGGGAUGUAGGCAGUGGCUCUUUGCACGGGGUGUGGCUAUAACUGGGACCUCCAGGUGGUGGCUCAUGGUUGCACUGGGGAAGUAAACUAAUCUAGGCAUAAAAGUUGAUGAAGCUGUAGCACCAGGAGUCCAAGCUGUGAAGGAAGUUGAGUCCUUCCUCCGCCAGCAGCAGACUGUGAGCUGCAGAGUCAAAUAUGAUGGAAAGUUUCCUUUUGAGAGGAGAAAAAAAUGGUGAAAAGAAAAUUCUAGCAAAUAAAAAAUGAUUUGCAAGGCUUCUCCUGUACUUGCUAAGAUCCUUGGGGGAAGAAAGGGAUCCCCACUCACAUCCCCUUGUAAACACUCCAGUAACCAGAGCUUCUGGUAAGCAAACUAAUGGUAUUUACUAGCAGAAAGAUAAUGGUAAGUCUUUAUCUGUGUAAUGCAUUUAUCAAUAUAUACGUUGUCUGCCUAGGGUGUUUACCAGAAGUAAAAUUGGAAUUUGUGGAUUUAUGGAGCAUAGCGUGCUGGAAAAUGUCACAUAAGCUGUGUAAUUAAUGGGGUGUAAAAUGAAGAUGCUCUGUAAUCAAUAUGGCUCCUUCGUGUAAGUGGUGGCAUGUACAAUUGCUUAGACUCACACAUUAAAUACAAGUGCAAACAUAUUCUAUGCAGUAGAGGAAUGCUCUCUGUGGGGAGGUGUUGAUGGUGUUGAACUUCAAGGGAGGGAUGUUUUGCCUGUGCCUUGGGAUCGUCUGUAUCCUUUGAAUUAGUAGAGUUUGGUACUGUGAGAUCUAUGAUUCAUGUGAUUUGACUUGACAAAUUGGGAGACAUAGAUUGGGUAACAUCAGCACAUAAAUGCAUCUUACAGCUGUGGAAUUUGAGAGAUAUAGUCAGAGGAAGGGUGAGAGAGGUCAUAGAUACAAAACAGAAGAGCAGGCUGGGCAUGGUGGCUCACACCUCAGCACUUUGGGA
rnacentral:lncRNA from 10 species